rnacentral:rRNA from 1 species
UACGUAGGUGACAAGCGUUGUCCGGAUUUACUGGGCGUAAAGAGCGCGCAGGCGGUCGAUCAAGUCGAGUGUGAAAGCCCCCGGCUCAACUGGGGAGGGUCAUUCGAUACUGAUCGACUCGAAGGCAGGAGAGGGUAGUGGAAUUCCCGGUGUAGUGGUGAAAUGCGUAGAUAUCUGGAGGAACACCGGUGGCGAAGGCGGCAUCCUGGACCAAUAUUGACGCUGAGGAGCGAAAGCUAGGGGAGCAAACGGG